UUAUUGGUUGGCACCUCUGGCCACAGGCCAGGUGUCAUCCUCAACCUCACCACAGAAGAAGUCAUCGACUCUAAAGAGGGACAGCAUGGCCACGCCAUUUUUGUGAAAAACCACAAAACGAGCAGGGCCUUUGGCCAUGCCAUAUUAGCAGUGACAAAACAGGAGUACAAAUACAUGAGCGAGUGCGUGUGGUGAAAAGUGGGUGCUGACUUUGGCAGGCCCAUAUGUACCCACACUUUUGAAAAAGCCUUGAGGAGGCCUUUGUACAGCCCGCCCUUUUAUGGCCCUAAGGACCUCAAUGUCCACACAAAGAUGUACCAAAGAACAUCUGCAAAAUCAUUAACUGAGCUACAAGCUGAACCAGCUGUAGUUGAGGAAGACUUGGGGAGUUUCUGUGUCAUUGUUAAGGACAAGCUGAAACAACUUUACAUUGCCUGGAGGAGAGAGAGGCAAAUGAUUCACAGAUUUUCAGCAUA